rnacentral:lncRNA from 1 species
UUUCCCAGCCGUCCAUGUAUCAUGCCAUCAUCCGUUCCUCCGACCCAGUGAUCUCCACGUGCAGUCCACAAACCCCUCAGCCAUUGUCUUAGCCCGGAUGACGGCCUCUCCUAUGAUCGCGUCCAGCCGCCCGUGAUGCGGACGCUAGUCCGUGAUCCCAGCCUCCACCGUGGCCAUGAUCGGCGUCCUCCUAGCAUCCCAGCUCUUCCGCACAUCA